UAGUUUGUAUACAAUAGUAAAUAAGUGUGGACAUAACUUCUCUUUCAAGAGUACACAGUAGUGUUUGAAUGUGAACAUAAACAUACUCUAGAACUCGGUUUUAAAUGCGAAUAUACUACUUGGUAUAAACAGAAUUGUUUGAAUGAGAAUAUAAUCAAACUACAGAACUAGGAUUAACAGUAGUGUUUGAAUCAGUCGUGUGUGUGUUAACACUCGGUGAAAUAAUAUUCUAACAGUUUAAACUGUGUAUUUUUUGGUGUCCUCGAAUGUAAAGACAAAGAUCGUGAACCUAAAGGAAUUACGUGACUUAUACGAGAGACAUUUCGUCUGAACAGAACUCAUUGGACAUUGUAAACGACUCAUACAAUUGAAGGGGGAGGCAAUUCUUUGCUGUAUGAAAUAAUUAGUGAUCAGCUGAUCUAAAUUAUGACGUUAUUGGUGAUAUUAUACCUGAUUUUAGAAACCAUUGUACAAAUUGAAUGUGUUUGUCCCUAUGGAUGGAUUAAAAAUGGAACAGCUUGCAUUCAGGUACCGACGGUAUCUCCGACAGUUCAGGAAACAAAGAAACUUCCUGUGCCUGUAUCAAGGAGCUAUACUGAUCCAGUGAACAUUGUGUUAAUUAUAAUUGUAUUAGUGGUAGUACUUAUAAUUUCUUUUAAAUGUGUCAAACGAUUUUGCAGGAGGUCUAGGAGCAAGAAUUGGGUUUGAAACAAAAUGAAAUAUAUCACAGUUGUUCAGAAUCAUGAUAUUAAUAUAUCAUGUCAGAUUUUUUCAAACGUUAAAUCAUAUUAUUUGUAUAUAAUAUAUAUUGCCCUUAAAACGAAUUUUUUCAUUAUUUUGUCAUUUAUUCUUCAAGCAAAAAAUGAUAUAGAAUAUUAGAAUACAUUCAUUAAUGUAACGAUGUACAACAAAUAAUAUCAUCUUAUUUUAAACAUUUUAUUGUGGCUACAGUAUCUGUGUGGUAAGUUUAAUUAAUAAAUGGGGAACGAUCAAUCAUUGAUGGAAGUGAAAUAUUAAAUGGUAUAAAUAAGGUUAAACUUUUUUGUUUGAAACUGACAGACAAUUAUAGUUUUAUUUUUAUGAUGUCAGUUACCAUACUGGAAGAAGGAUAUGUAUAAAUGUUAACAAUAUUCUUAGAGCCGCAUGUCUCCAGAUGAACCACAAUAUUUCAACAAAAUCAAACUUAAGAAAAUUGAAAAGUGAAAGAUUUUAAGAAAAGUAAUAUGAUUCAUUAUUCAAGAUUAAUUUUCAUGUAAUGUGCGACUAUUUACUGAUUUUGCAGUAUUGCUCACCUUAUUUCUCCUGCGUGAUUAAUGUCACUUUUCAUGACUUAUCUUAAAGUCAAAAAUGGUUUAUAUACAACAAAAUUUGUUUUUCUUUCUCACGUUCAAAAUUUGUAUAAGAAUCGAUGAGUGGCUCACUUUUUCCAGACAUUUUAUUUAGUAGCGUUUGAACCAAUUCCUUGAUAACCUUUUUUCUUCUAACAUUUUUGAUAACUGCUUUUUGAGUGAAAAGUAACUGUUUUAGAGGAAAAUAAGAGGUAAUGAAUUUAUCAUCAUAUAAUAUUUUGAUUGGAUGGAUGAGACAAUAAAAGGACUGGCGCUGACAUUUUCUAAAAGUAUUCAGACUUGAUUUCUAAUAUCAUUCAACAUUGAUGUGUUCGGUCAUAAAAUGCUUUCUCUAAUUUGGUUUAAACAUAUUUAUUUAAGCUCGAUUGCGAAACACAAUCUUGCAACUUAUAUUAAUCACUUUCGAAUCCGCUUCCUUGGACCAACCAUUACUGGUGUCAUAUAAAAAACACAGUCGUGGCCGGAGUAGGGCCCCUUACCCAUGAUUUCUAGGUUGAGAGACAGACACCUUAACCAUUAGACCACCGCUGCCCUUUCUCUAUUUUGAUUGUGUGCGUUACGUGUUUUUGUUUUGCAAGCAUUGAAAAGGUCAGUUAAAUUAUUUCAUAAACUCCUCAACUUUUGCUAAGCACCAUACGUUAAUUUUUAUAUUAUCACAAGUAUAAAACAAAUUUCUUUUUGAUUUUUGAAACAUUCUGAUUCAGCAAUGUUUUGCGAUAGUCCCCUGACAUGAAUCCGAGUUGAUUAAUCCGUAACAACUCGUCUAGGUAGCAUGUAAAUCAUGCACUCCAAUAUUUUGGGUGUACAUUCACAUGCGACAUUACCAGCUUAAUGCUAACAUUAUGCGGCUAAUGAGAGAAGCAGAGUUAUGGAGGGCUGAAGGGAUUGCGCAGCAGGGGCCACUUUCCGCCAAGUUGGUGCGGUGCUUGUUGUACACUACAACUUCAUCAUCAGAACCUGGGAAAGAUACCGGCUACAUGUUAAACCCGCCAGGAGGCAUGCUGGUGGUCGGCAAAGGGUCACAACACCAGCUGAGGGUCAGUUUUUGGUCGGUGGUUCAGGCACGUUGUGCAAGGUUUUCGACAGCAACUUCUCUUCGAAAUGACCUUUUGCUAAUGCUGCGGUGCGGGGGUCCGUGCUCCCACGCAGACGGUACGUAGAAGGCUGUAUGAAGGUAAUUUGCGGUGAAGACCUUGCAUACGUAUCCCCUUGACUCGUCGACAUCGCCAGACCCGUUUGGAAUGGACCAUGGAGCUUACACGGUGGACCAUGCAACACUGGAGACACGAUUUAUUCACUGAUGAGUCCAGGUUCUGCCUAGGCGUGUUCGAGUCUGGAGAAGAUGAGGUGAACGGUUUCAGACUGCAAAUAUUGUUGAGCAUGUCUGCUACGGAGGUAUGUCAGUUAUGGUAUGGGGAGGCAUCAGCUGGGCUGGACAAACACCUGGUUGUGCUUAAUAAAUACACAUCAGCGAUACAUAGACAAACAGGUUAGGUCGUAUGCUGAAGCAGUCGGUGAUUAGUUAAUUUUAAUGGACGAUGAUGCCCGUCACAAUAGGACAAGGGUGGUCGAGGGCUACCUAGAGAGGGAGUCUAUUGAGCACAUGAACUGGCCAGCUCGCUCACCUGACAUUAAUCCAAUAGAACACAUGUGGAAUAAGCUGCAGGUUAGAAUAAUAGUUCGUCAGUUGCAACCCAGAAGCAUCCAGGAGCUUGGAGCCAUGUUGGUCCAAGAAUUGGCAGCCAUAUCCGUUAGAACGAUCAGAAACAUAAUAGGGAGUAUGAAACUGCCAUUGAUAGUCACAGGUCACACACACGGUAUUAAGUCUGAAACUGUAAACAAAACAACAAAAAACGAAUUCAACAAAUUUGGAAACUCGCUACAUGUUCUGAAAUUUUCAAAGAGGGGGAAGGGAUCAUUCUCUUCUCUAGCACAAAAUCAGUGUUAAAUUGAUUUACAGGGUUAAAUUCGUCCUUCAGCUGAAUUUAUAAAACAGUAAAUCAACAUUUAAAACCUUUCGCACGGCGUUAGUUACAUUAUACCAAAAAUAUAUUCAAACUCAAACAUAUGGUGCUUAGCUUUGAGUAGUAUAUUUAAGCUGUGUUGUAUUUGGGUUGCCAUUUUUACUUACGUUUUAUAAUUUUGUGAUUUUCUAGUUUACACUAAAUGGUGUAGCCCCCGACAUUACCAUUUUUCUAUUUCACAACGAACAGGAAGAUAUAUUUACGAGUACCUAAACUAGAAUAGUCAUCCUUGAAACGUCGUGCACGGUAAUGGGCCAUUACUUUGCAAAAGGAUUGCAUUCCAUUACCAUAACUUUGGGGUUUGGUGCUGUAUCAGUACCAGUACCAUUACUUGAUUUUGGGCAAGUAAUGCGGUACAUUACCAUUACUUGGACCAAGUAAUGCAGUAUCUUUACCAUUAUGUUGAGCAUAAGACAAUUA